UACGGGGGGGGGCAAGCGUUGUUCGGAAUUACUGGGCGUAAAGGGCUCGUAGGCGGCCAACUAAGUCAGACGUGAAAUCCCUCGGCUUAACCGGGGAACUGCGUCUGAUACUGGAUGGCUUGAAUCCGGGAGAGGGAUGCGGAAUUCCAGGUGUAGCGGUGAAAUGCGUAGAUAUCUGGAGGAACACCGGUGGCGGAAGGCGCAUCCUGGACCGGCAUUGACGCUGAGGAGCGAAAGCCAGGGGAGCAAACGGGG
rnacentral:rRNA from 1 species